GGAAAGCUCACUCUGUAAGGAAUUGCUUGGGAAUUUUUCUUGUAGAAGCAAACUUGUCAUAGAAAAAUCAAAUAUGUUGACAUUGCAGAGACAUUAGAGACCCUUGUGUUAUCGCUACAAAUAGAGACAGACUUUAGAAUAGUGUCAUCUCCACAAAUGCCUGAGGUAUAUGCUACCCUAGAGUUUUGUGCCACCUUAUGGAUUUUAUCUCUCUUGAGGUCAUAUUUAUCUUGUCCCCGUGUCCAAUCUCUAGCCUGUUCCAUCAAUAUGUGUAGGUACAGAGCGGAAAAGAAAAAAAAAAUAUAUAUAUAUCCCCAAGCCCCAUAAGGGUGUCUCUAAAGCUGUCAUAUGUAAAACAGAAUAAUGCAUAUGACUCUACUAGAUACUGUGUUUCGGGUAUGGAAUGGAUAGGAAAAUUCACAUUAGUGACCAAAUAAACCAAGAAAGAAAUUAGCAAACUUCAGAGUUGCUGGAUCAGUUUUGAUAGUUAAUUCACAAAGCCAGAUCCUAGUAGUCAGUGUGGUACAUAAUUUCAGGUAUGCUCAGCCAAAUCUAAAACUGUAUUGGAGGAAGCGAAAGCUGGUUUAUUGGGAUGGUUGAUGGUUGCAUAGCCCUCUCUGCUGGGACUCCUUGCAAGUGAGCUUGUAAUUUACAGAACUUUUUCUUGGACUCCCUUGAAGACACAUAAUAGAGGAGCUCAAAUCUGCAAGGAGAUCUUUUCUAAAAGUGUGAUUCUUGAUUUGUAAUGCUCCAGCCUCUAUUAUCAAGAACAUAAUCCUGAGUUUUCUUUCCAAGUGGGAGGAUUACUCUUAUUAUUAAUGUAUUAAAUUAAACCAAAUAUGUAACUGCUUCACAAAAUAUUUUACCUAAGAAAUAAACUAGAUGGUAUAAAUAUCCAUGAUAAAAACCAUACCAUCUUAAUAGUUGCUUUUGUGAAAAAAUUAUACUCUUUGUGAAUCUUUCUCUACAUUUCUAAAUCCACUUUAGCAAACAUUAUACUUGAAAAAUAUCCCAAAGAAAAAUCUUGGGAGCUUUUUAUACUGUAUUGCAAUAAUACAGAGAGAAGAAAGUUGUAUGGUUAUGAUAAUGAUGUGAAUGAGAAUUAUCUACACUGUUGACAAGAUUAUAUUUUUAAAGGAAAUAGUUUGGCACAAAGAAAAUGUGUUAAGUGGGAUUUCAUCAUGUAUUGCCCUUGUUUAUGAAAGUUUCUGAAAGUCAUUACCUUUAACAAAGAUGCCCAUUUUCCUGAGACAACUGUAUAAUUUAAUCUCAUUCUCAGGUUUGACAUGAAAAUCAAAGCUGGGCAUAUAUAGUUUUGGCUUGGACAACCAAAGAAAAAUGUGUUUUGGCAUACUUUCCACGCCAUUGAAUUAUUUUAAAGAAUACAUUAGGUCUGUGCAGAUGUCUCAUAAAAUACUUUUUAAAAUUUCCUUCCACUCUUAAAAGUAAAUUUUAAAUUACUCAACUUGAUAACUUAAUACUUUUCCAUUUCAAAGGACAACUCCAUUUUUAUAUUGUUACUAAUAUUUUAGGACUAAUUUAUAAUUUGAAUCAAUACAUAGGAGGGGGUAUUAGACUGGAGUCUAGUCCCAUAACCACAUGGUGCAGACAGAUCUAUCAGUGACUAAGUGGUUUUAGAUGAACCAGCCUUAGACAAUAUAGCAAUGUGAAUACGGUUUUUAGUCUUUUUUUCUGUCAAAGGUUUGCAUUUUAAGCAGUGUAAUAACAACUUUAGAAAAGUUGGAUUACCAGUUGCAAGAUUCUUUUUCUUGGAAUUAUUUCAUUGUUUCAACGUACUUGUUCUCCUCUACCUUAUUUCUCCCAUACCAUAGGGAUAUGUAUAUU
rnacentral:lncRNA from 1 species